UUGAGCCGACCCAGGUGGACG
rnacentral:misc_RNA from 1 species